rnacentral:rRNA from 1 species
AACGAACGCUGGCGGCAUGCCUAACACAUGCAAGUCGAACGAGACCUUCGGGUCUAGUGGCGCACGGGUGCGUAACGCGUGGGAACCUGCCUUUAGGUUCGGAAUAACUCAGAGAAAUUUGAGCUAAUACCGGAUGAUGUCUUCGGACCGAAGAUUUAUCGCCUUUAGAUGGGCCCGCGUUGGAUUAGCUAGUUGGUGGGGUAAAGGCCUACCAAGGCGACGAUCCAUAGCUGGUCUGAGAGGAUGAUCAGCCACACUGGGACUGAGACACGGCCCAGACUCCUACGGGAGGCAGCAGUGGGGAAUAUUGGACAAUGGGCGAAAGCCUGAUCCAGCAAUGCCGCGUGAGUGAUGAAGGCCUUAGGGUUGUAAAGCUCUUUUACCCGAGAUGAUAAUGACAGUAUCGGGAGAAUAAGCUCCGGCUAACUCCGUG